rfam:Stegodyphus mimosarum contig29750, whole genome shotgun sequence.
GCCUUCGUGGUGUAAUGGUCAGCACGCUGGGUGCGCAUUCCAGAGGUUCGUGGUUCGAUUCCCGGCGAGGGCA